rnacentral:rRNA from 1 species
UACUCCUACCGGGGGGCAGCAGUGGGGAAUAUUGGACAAUGGGCGCAAGCCUGAUCCAGCCAUGCCGCGUGAGUGAUGAAGGCCCUAGGGUUGUAAAGCUCUUUCACCGGAGAAGAUAAUGACGGUAUCCGGAGAAGAAGCCCCGGCUAACUUCGUGCCAGCAGCCGCGGUAAUACGAAGGGGGCUAGCGUUGUUCGGAAUUACUGGGCGUAAAGCGCACGUAGGCGGAUCGAUCAGUCAGGGGUGAAAUCCCAGGGCUCAACCCUGGAACUGCCUUUGAUACUGUCGAUCUGGAGUAUGGAAGAGGUGAGUGGAAUUCCGAGUGUAGAGGUGAAAUUCGUAGAUAUUCGGAGGAACACCAGUGGCGAAGGCGGCUCACUGGUCCAUUACUGACG